ACAUUGAAAAAUUUGAAUAAGAAAUAACUUGUGUGUAGAUGCAUGAAAUUUGAUAAAGGCUUAAGUCAUGUGUGGCCCCUUAAAGUUGUUUGUAUAAUUCAUUAGGCACUUUAACAAACAUUGUUUUCUAUUAGACACUCUAACCUUAACAAAUAAAUACCUAUUGAACAUUUUUCUGACACUCAAUCAAAAGAGAAAGUGCGUGUAAUACACAUGCACAUGAUGUGACAAAAUAGCAAACCAAAUAAAAACACGUGGCAUUUUAAUUGAAAAAAAUUAUCAAAAUAAAUUUUAAAUAUUAAUAAGUCAAAAUCUUUAAGAAAAGACUUUAAAUUUUUCUUUAAAAAAAAUAAAGAAAAGAAAGAAAUUAUACAACCCCCCUUCACCCACCCCGCACUCCACCCCAUACAAAUCUUUCCCUUUCUUUUCUUUCUAUAACAGCUCCACCUUCCACCUUCCACCAUUGUUAAUUCUCCAUUUAGAACAAAUAGAUAUUUAACAUAUAUUAGAUUUGGGAGGAAGAAGGGGCGUAGAUCAAGGUGGUUUGUGGCGGGAGAGGUGAAGAGGGAGUGAGAAGAUAUUUUAUUAAUGAUCUUCAUUUUUUCCGACAAAGAAGCUGUAGAUGAUUUCCAUUUUUUUUAUAAAUAAGGCAUCUUCAUUUUUUUGAUAAAAGAUUGUGAAUGGCAUUCUCCAUUCGGAAGUUGACAAUUAUUAGAAUAUUAAAAAAAGAAAAAGAAAACAUGAAAUUUGUAAAAGUAAAUAUAAAAUAAAAACUGACCAUGGAUUUGUAAAGCAAA